CACCGCGGUUAUACGAGAGGCUCAAGCUGAUAGACCACGGCGUAAAGCGUGGUUAGGGAAAAUCAUACAAUAAAGCCGAGAAUCGACAGAGCAGUUAUAAGCGUCCGAGAGAAAAAGACCAAUCACGAAAGUAGCUUUACCACCCCUGAACCCACGAAAGCUAGGGCC
rnacentral:rRNA from 3 species